ACCUGUCAGUCUCGGCAUUGUCUCUUUCCUGCGGUGGUUGUUUGGAGAAAGGUCUUCUUCUCACUGAUAAAUCGCGGAGGCUUAUUUAUUUCUAACGAGUGUCGUCACCAACUUUCAUUCUGUCAACGUUUCGCAUUCCUCACCCGACAACGCCCUCCCGCGCCGCUACACCUUCAUAUUCGAUGUGAGGGCGGUCGCCAUACACCAAAAAGCUCUCUGCAUCCAUGCGAAGAUAACCUCCACUUGGCCAUUAAAAGGACACCAUGUUUCUCUUCGGUCUGGGGAAGCUGAUUUAUAUCAUCGUCCUCAUCAUAAACGCCAUCGCUAUCCUCUCUGAAGACCGCUUUUUGGCCCGCAUUGGUUGGGGCCGCACACAGUACGAUCCCGGCUUCGGCGCCGCCGUCCCUGACAACACAAGCAUCAAGGCGAAAUCCGUCAAUCUAAUAGCAAGCGUGCGGACGGUUAUGAGAAUUCCCCUCAUCAUAAUCAACCUAAUAAUCAUAAUUUACGAAAUCGUUUUGGGAUAGAAAAGGCAGAGGUGGGAGAGGGGACGGAAAAAGGGCAACGUUAUAACAUCAUAUUUACCCACUUUCUUUCUUAUUUCUUUUGAUAUCCAUCUCUCUAUUUCCUCUGGUUUUUCAUAGUAUCUACUCUUGCUAUCUCCGCCAAUUUACAUACAUCCCCAGCUUCAUCACACCAGCAGCUGAGAGAAUACAAAACAAAAUAUUUCAAUAUUUCAAUCCCUCGCACUUAUACGGACCUUCGCACUCCCGUCAGGAGCAUAUCGACUAUGAAAAGUUGUCUGCGUGGCAUGCGAUUAGCCUCAGGCAAGUCUCAUGCAUCUCUAAUCGGGCAUUGGAAAGAUACGUGCGAAGAAGGCCAGUCGGGCCAUUAGCUUUCUGAAUAAUAAAGAAGGGAUAUGUAGUAAAUAGUGACAGAGAGAAGAAGGUAUUAUUAGAAUAAGAUUGCUUUGAGACAUGCAUGUGGAGAGAACGAAUUGUAACAGGCGCACAACAACCCGCAACAGGACUCGGUUCGCGAAGAACUCCCAACCCGACAGCGCUGGUGGUUAAUUAUUAGGUAUGAAAAGGAGUUGAAUAGCCAUAUAAAAUGAAGAUCUUGUUCCACCACUCCCUCCUCUGCGUUCUACUUUCCGUUCCGUCAAGCAGCAUCAAGACGACUCUAAAACCAAAGAAGAAGGAAGAUAAUCUGAAAUGGAAACAGAAUUAAGACAUGAACAGAGCCGCUCACUUCAAAAGAAAAAAAAGAAAAAAAAGAAAAAAAAAUCCAAACAUUUAGUGAACGUAAAUAGCCUACCUAACCGAAGCCAUAGCCAAAGCCGAAUCCCAAACCAAACCAAGCCAGCCAGCAAUAAUGAACAUACAAGGUAAGGUAACAAACAAGAGAAAGAAGAAUAAAUUUAAAUUCUACAUUGAAGGGAGAAAAGGGGAACAUGGUAUAUAUGGAUAUGGACGGCAGAGGCCACAAAACAAAGGAACAGAGAUAAGAAAGGGGCGAAAAGUUAUAUGCAAAAACAGAUUAGGGCAGAAGGGAAUGAAUUCCGGCGUAGGACGUUAAAAUAAAUGCCAUCGACUUCUUUCAUUUGCGAUUUUCCAAUGGUAGAUGACGUUAAAUAGCACAUGCAGAUUGUGCUGUACAUGUACAUAUAUGCAAAGGAAAUGAGAAAAUGUAAUAAGUUUUGUGUGUGCGAGUGUGGAGAGGAGAGAGGGAGAGAGGGAGAGGCGACAGAACGAAGGCGAUUUCAAAAAAAAUAUCACAUGUGACAAGGAGGACCAUGGUUGGUUGUUACCAAGCCAGAGCUAAGUAAUAUGAAGUACCAAAACUAUGUUACGCUGAACGAUUUCCUUCGUAGACUGAACCGGCUGCGUUUUGGUGUUGCAUGCUUCACUGAGUUUCCGUUAUUUUCGUGACCUUUGCCAUUGUGUGUUUGCUUCCUAUUGGGAUCGUGGUUGAUAUCGUAACUGCGAGCAUGAUUGUGAUUGUGAUCGGAAUUGGUAUGGCGACUGGAAUGGUUGAUGCUGUUGGAGACUUCUCGUGGUCGUAUCUUCAUAUUAUUGAAAAAGUUUGAUGGAUUUGGUCGUGGUUUCGGGUCUUCGUUUUUGCUACGGGCGGUAGAGUCGACUGGCGGAUUGGAAUAUACUUCAUCCUUCAAAGGCCAAUUGUUGCUAAGAUUGCUCUCUGCGACAGGGCUCUUGGGGUCUGCAGUGGCGGAUGGGAGCGGUAGGGACAUUGGGGGUACGGGUACUGGCGGCGGCUCUGUCGAUGAUUUUGGACCCUUCUCUUUAUCUCUAGAAUAUAAUAUGCCGUAGCUCAAACUCCUACUGCCCAGUUUGAACCGACCAAGACCUCCUGCCGUUCCUCCGGGUUGGCCGUUCUCCUUACCGUUGCGAGGAGUUGCAAUACGGCGGUCCUCCUCAGCCUUAGAAGCUUUACUAAGUUCCAAAGCCGUCUUGAGUUCGGCGUCUUGGCGCUUAAUUUCCUCCUUCAGUUUAGCCUCCAGUUCCUUUCGUUUUUGCUUCUGUGCCUUCUCCUUCUCCUUCUCUGCAGUUUUCCGUUCCUUCUCUUCCUUUGCGCGUUCUUUUUUGAAGAUAACGUCGCUCUUUUUAGAAUUUAGGUUGGUUGAGCUGGACAUCACAGGGGUUUGAGGAAGGUGUGGGAGAGGUGGGAGACUAGGCGUCGCAUUCUCAGGAUGGGUAGAUGGUUCCGGUGCAGUUGGUAUUCUUUUUAAGGGCGAAGUUGGUGAAAGAUCUGCGGAGGGGGUCACGGUGUUUCCUCGAUUGGUUUCAUCGAAACCAGUAGUAGACCCGUUCAUUUUGGGCUGCGAAACGGAAACUAAAUCCUUGGUGUCCACCGAUGCUCGAUUCAUUGAAGUCAUUCCUUCUUUUUCCUGUUCCCUUUGCAUGGCUUCAAAAGUUGUU
rnacentral:sRNA from 2 species